AUCACUUCUCAGCCUUUUGGUUAAGAUAAGUGUAGUAU
rnacentral:snRNA from 1 species